rnacentral:rRNA from 1 species
GACGAACGCUGGCGGCGUGCCUAAUACAUGCAAGUAGGACGCAGUUGCGAACGGGUGAGUAACGCGUAGGUAACUGCCUAUUAGAGGGGGAUAACUAUUGGAAACGAUAGCUAAUACCGCAUACUAGUAGAUGGACCUGCGUUGUAUUAGCUAGUAGGUAGGGUAAUGGCCUACCUAGGCGACGAUACAUAGCCGAACUGGUACGGUGAGUGGCAAAAAGGGGAGUGAGAAACGGCCCAGAAUCAGACGGGAGGCAGCAGUAGGGAAGCGUAGGCAAUGGGGUGAAACCUGAACUGGCAAAGCGGCGUGAGGAAAGAAGGUUUUAGGAUCGUAAAGCUCUGGUGUUAAGGAAGCGGGAAUUAACAAGAAAGGGACGGCUAACUACGUGCCAGCAGCCGCGGUAAUAC